UCUAAGUGUUUCUUCAAGCUAAUUACACUUUAUCAAACCAAGUUAAAGAUGUAUGUUUGUUUGUUAACACCAAAACAUAGCAAGGAGUGUGGACACGUUUCCCAACACAAGCAUCUAUCAUCAAAGCUUUUCAAUUUUAUUUCCGCAAUCAUGUGUUAGGCGCUGCAAAAAGUGAUUUCUUCUUCUGCAUGUGUUUAUAGAUUAAGUAGUGGUCCGUGAUGUGAUUGAGCUAUAAUCUUAUGUGCACCAUUAAUUGUCCUGUUUGGAUGUUUGUUUUGAUCUUACUACAGAACUCACCUACAUUAAUAAAGUUCCAAAGCUUGAUGUUUCACAGUGAACUGUCUGCAAGCUUGUAGAUCAUUGUCUGGGUGCUUGCCUAUGUGAAGCAUGUUGCAAGAAUUUGAAGCCCUUCUAAAACCAGAUUUUAGAAAUAAAAAAUGCUUCAUGAGUUUUCUGUAAAUUGUUGUUGAAACUUGAAGCACUGUGCAUAUUGAUGCAGGUCGAUGGGGUUUGAAGAUGAGGGAGAUCCAGCCACAAUUGACCAGGCAUGCCCCUUUGGCCUUCAAAUGGCCCAGCAAUGGGGGCCAGUGAGGCCCACAUUAUAAGGCCUAAUGGCUGGAGUUUAGAUCCAACUAAUGGACCUGUUUGGGGCCCAUUAAGAGACUCUUUAGUGACCUAAGUGGAAACUCUACAGAAGCCCUCAAGAGAAAUUGUCAACAAGAAGUCAAAGGCCAAUGGUGGAAUGAAGUAGUUUUAUGUUCUGGUGAAUCUAUUCAUGUUGAUUUUGACCUCAAAUGUACCCAGAUGUAAGCAGAGAUACGCUGCACCCAGUGACCUCAAAGGUAAACUAGACAUACAGCAGUGCUCUUCCGAUCAGAAUUUCUGGUGAUAAAAUGGAGUCCAGCACCGAUCAUUGCUGCUGUCUGUCAAUAAACAUAUCAAUGUGAUGAUUGGCUAAUUGUAGCUGAUAGGAGUGGUGGUUCAGAGAGGUACCACAAGAGUCUUGCAUUGACUUGAUUCUUACAAUAUAAUCUUUUAGUUGCUGCUUGUGCAAUUUACUGCUUUCACAACUGCCUUGGUGAAGUUGCUUGGGAUCAGUAUGAUUCUUUGAAUCAAUCCAAAAACAGAAAAAUUGUGCCUUGUAAAUGAAUGGGGACUUGUUGGGUUGAGCAUUUUAGCAGUCAAUACCAUCUCUCAUCUCUGUUGCCAGUUCAGGAGUUAUUUUAAGUUGAAUGUAGUGGCAGGGCAAAGUCUCAGAUUGUACCUCCAGGAUUGUGAGAGUGAGUGGAAGUUGAAUACAGGGAAGAGUUUAGUUUGUCCUGAUGGGAGCGGGCCAAGUCUCUAGGUGUGCUCUGAGCGUGGGCUUGGAAAUGUGUGGUUGAUGAUGGUAGACUGAAGUAGGGUGGGGAGUCGGGAGAGUAGAAAGAGAUCCAUUAUCUAAACUAAGCUAAUUUGGAUGACAAGUAGGCACCUAAACUGAAGAGUUAAAAUAAAUAGUAGUGGCCUGUGAGCUGUUUUCUUUGGUUGGCCUUGUUGGGUGGGUGAGUCAGUCAGUCAUGUAGGUUCGUGUUAAAUCUCAAUCCAUGUCCCAUAUCUGUAAAGUUUAAAAACUGAAUGGUUGGUUGGCAUAACUCUAAUCUGCAUAUGGAUUCAGGCGUGGCUAGUUUGCGACUUCCAACCAUUGUGAUUCUGUGAAUCGUGAGUUGGUUUUGUGACUGCUCUCUGCCAUAGUUGGGGCCGCAGUACUACUACUAACCUCUGAUUCCAAUACCUCUGCUUGUGACGUACUCCCAAUCCCAGUCCCAGUCCCAGUCCCAGUCCCGGUGGAACUGGUGGAUUCCGAAUGGGGGAAAAAGGAGGAACCGAAAUUAAAAUUUACGAAAUACUAAAUUGGUCCAUUAUUUGCACGAACUGGAUUCCAAUAACGGGAAAAAGACGGAACACUCGGAACACUUCUAUCAUUCCUUAUUUCUUGUUAGAUGCUUUUACGCUUGUUUUGAAGUAAAAAAAUAAGGAAAGAGAAUAAUGAUACUCUACUAAACUAACCUACUCCUCCCCUACUGGGGUCUGCGAUCGAUCCUCAUGUCCUUUUGCCGAGAUAACAUUCUUUCCAAUGGACAAACGUUUAUUCCGAUUGAUUGAUUCUCUUAUGUAGAAAUCUCAUUCCUCUAUCAAUGUUCGUUCUUCCUUAUCUGAACUAAUUAUGUUAUGAAAAAAAAACGAGAACUAAUGUUAUGAAAAUUCAGAAUUUAAAAGUCCCAACAUCUCCUCUUGGGCUGGUCUUCAUUAGAUUUCUCUGGCAUCAUAUCAUAUCCUACUGCAAAUGCAUUUUGCUUCUCUUUUGAGUAAUUUUUUUUUUUUUUUAUUACAUCCAAAAGCAAAUUUUUUUUUUUAUUCGUUAC